UUAGUGUUGAAGCACCGUUUCUCGUUCGAUCACCGAAGUUAAGUAAAGUUGAGCCUGGUUAGUAUCCAGGUGGGUGAUCGCUGCGGAAUACAAGGUGC